GCGGAGGAAAAGAAACCAACAGGGAUUGCCCUAGUAACGGCGAGUGAAGCGGCAACAGCUCAAAUUUGAAAUCUGGCGCAAGCCCGAGUUGUAAUUUGUAGAGGAUGCUUCUAGGUAGCGACCGGUCUAAGUUCCUUGGAACAGGACGUCAUAGAGGGUGAGAAUCCCGUAUGUGACCGGCCCGCACCUUCUACGUAGCUCCUUCGAAGAGUCGAGUUGUUUGGGAAUGCAGCUCUAAAUGGGAGGUAAAUUUCUUCUAAAGCUAAAUACCGGCCAGAGACCGAUAGCGCACAAGUAGAGUGAUCGAAAGAUGAAAAGCACUUUGGAAAGAGAGUUAAAAAGCACGUGAAAUUGUUGAAAGGGAAGCGCUUACAACCAGACUUCUGGGCGGUGUUCCGCCGGUCUUUUGACCGGUCUACUCUCCGUCCCGAGGCCAACAUCAUCUGGGACCGCUGGAUAAGACCUUAGGAAUGUAGCUCCCCUCGGGGAGUGUUAUAGCCUCUGGUGAUGCAGCGCGUCCCGGGUGAGGUCCGCGCUUCGGCAAGGAUGUUGGCGUAAUGGUUGUCAGCGGCCCGUCUUGAAACACGGACCAAGGAGUCUAACAUCUAUGCGAGUGUUCGGGUGUCAAACCCCUACGCGUAAUGAAAGUGAACGGAGGUGGGAAGCGCAAGCUGCACCAUCGACCGAUCCUGAUGUCCUCGGAUGGAUUUGAGUAAGAGCAUAGCUGUUGGGACCCGAAAGAUGGUGAACUAUGCCUGAAUAGGGUGAAGCCAGAGGAAACUCUGGUGGAGGCUCGCAGCGGUUCUGACGUGCAAAUCGAUCGUCAAAUUUGGGUAUAGGGGCGAAA
rnacentral:rRNA from 1 species